rnacentral:sRNA from 1 species
GGGGACGGACUGGGAACGGCUCU